GACGAACGCUGGCGGCGUGCUUAACACAUGCAAGUCGAACGGAAAGGCCCUGCUUUUGUGGGGUGCUCGAGUGGCGAACGGGUGAGUAACACGUGAGUAACCUGCCCUUGACUUUGGGAUAACUUCAGGAAACUGGGGCUAAUACCGGAUAGGAGCUCCUGCUGCAUGGUGGGGGUUGGAAAGUUUCGGCGGUUGGGGAUGGACUCGCGGCUUAUCAGCUUGUUGGUGGGGUAGUGGCUUACCAAGGCUUUGACGGGUAGCCGGCCUGAGAGGGUGACCGGCCACAUUGGGACUGAGAUACGGCCCAGACGCCUACGGGAGGCAGCAGUGGGGAAUAGUGCCCAAUGGGCGGAAGCCUGAUGCAGCAACGCCGCGUGCGGGAUGACGGCCUUCGGGUUGUAAACCGCUUUCGCCUGUGACGAAGCGUGAGUGACGGUAAUGGGUAAAGAAGCACCGGCUAACUACGUG
rnacentral:rRNA from 1 species